AUUGAACGCUGGCGGCAUGCCUUACACAUGCAAGUCGAACGGUAACAGGUCUUCGGAUGCUGACGAGUGGCGAACGGGUGAGUAAUACAUCGGAACGUGCCUAGUAGUGGGGGAUAACUACUCGAAAGAGUGGCUAAUACCGCAUGAGAUCUACGGAUGAAAGCAGGGGAUCGCAAGACCUUGUGCUACUAGAGCGGCCGAUGGCAGAUUAGGUAGUUGGUGGGAUAAAAGCUUACCAAGCCGACGAUCUGUAGCUGGUCUGAGAGGACGAUCAGCCACACGGGGACUGGGACACGGCCCAGACUCCUACGGGAGGCAGCAGUGGGGAAUUUUGGACAAUGGGCGAAAGCCUGAUCCAGCAAUGCCGCGUGCAGGAUGAAGGCCUUCGGGUUGUAAACUGCUUUUGUACGGAACGAAAAGCCCCGGGUUAAUACCCUGGGGUCAUGACGGUACCGUAAGAAUAAGCACCGGCUAACUACGUGCCAGCAGCCGCCGUAA
rnacentral:rRNA from 1 species